rnacentral:rRNA from 1 species
UACGUAGGGAGCAAGCGUUGUCCGGAAUCAUUGGGCGUAAAGCGCGCGUAGGUGGCCCCAUAAGUCCGCUGUGAAAGUCAAAGGCUCAACCUUUGAAAGCCGAUGGAUACUGUCGGGCUAGAGUCCGGAAGAGGCGAGUGGAAUUCCUGGUGUAGCGGUGGAAUGCGCAGAUAUCAGGAGGAACACCGAUGGCGAAGGCAGCUCGCUGGGACGGUACUGACGCUGAGGCGCGAAAGCGUGGGGAGCGAACAGG